rnacentral:rRNA from 1 species
UACGUAGGGGGCAAGCGUUGUCCGGAUUUAUUGGGCGUAAAGAGCGUGUAGGCGGCCAGACAAGUCUGCUGUGAAAACUCGAGGCUCAACCUCGAGCUGUCGGUGGAAACUGUCUGGCUAGAGUCCGGAAGAGGAGAGUGGAAUUCCUGGUGUAGCGGUGAAAUGCGCAGAUAUCAGGAAGAACACCUAUGGUGAAGGCAGCUCUCUGGGACGGUACUGACGCUGAGACGCGAAAGCGUGGGGAGCGAACAGG